rnacentral:lncRNA from 1 species
UCCUUAACCCACUGAAUGAGGCCAGGGAUCGAACCUGCAACCUCAUGGUUCCUAGUUGGAUUUGUUAACCACUGAGCCACGACGGGAACUCCCCUUCAGUCCAUUUUAGAUCUUAAAAGGCAUGCACCUCUUGUACCUCUCCAAGUCUGAGAGCUGGCUUUGUCAAUAACCUGGGAAUGGGCUUAAGGUCAUUGGCAAGUUGGAAAGGCAGUCAGGGGACUUGAAAAGGACUGUACUAGCUAGAAUAAGGAGAGCAUUUCUGAGUUAAAUUUUGGGGAGAAAACAAGAGAGGUGGGCUAGAGGGCUGAUUUUUGUUUCUACUGAUUAGAACUGAAUUUUCAUCAGAACCAUCAGAUUGCUUUCUUGAUUAGAUCUAGCUGAAGUGCCAUGGGCCUCAGGUUGUGGAGAUGCUUAUGGAGAAUAAGAAGCUCUGGCCCACUUGAGGGCACCAGGUAGCUGCCUGACUGAGGAGUGGGAUUGGGGAGACAGUAUUUUAACUUUAUGCUACAAUUUAUCAUAUCUUAUGCUGUUAAAGUUUUGUAAUUUUUAAAUUAUCAUUAGCGUUGCACUAAACAUCUUUUUUUUCAUAAAUCUUUCACUUAUUUUCUGAGUGGCUUUCAGAUUUUUUUUUUUUUAAUGGCCACACCCACAUCAUAUGGAAGUUCAGGGGCCAGGGAUUAAGUCUGAGCUGCAGCCACAAGCCUUUAACGCACUGUGCUGGGCCAGGGAUUGAACCUGCACCUCUGCAGUGACCAGAGCUGCUGCAAUCAGAUUCUUAAAACCACUACACCACAGCAGGACAGACUUUUUAAUCAAUAGAACGUGAAUUGCAAUGUUAUCAGGAAGCUCAUCCAUUUCAACACAGUGGUUCUUAACCCUGGCUGCACCUUUAGGAAAAAAAAAUGCUAUCCAGGCCGCAUCCCAGAGUUGCAUUCUGUCUGCUAUAAUAAUGUGGACUAUAUAUCGGUAUUUAAUUUUCCUUAAAAAAAGGUUCCAGGUGGUUUUUACUUUAUAUUUUAUUAUUUUAAUUUGGCUUUUCAGGGCCUCACUGUCAGCAUAUGGCAAUUCCCAAACUAGAGGUUGAAUCAGAGCUACAGCUGCUAGCAUACAUCACAGCCACAGCAACUUGGGAUCCAAGCCAUGUCUUUGCCCUACACCACAGCUCAUGGCAACGCCGCACCCUUAACCCACCAAGUGAGGCCGGGGAUCAAACCGGCCUUCUCAUGGAUAUUAGUCAUGUUCUUAACCAGCUGAGCCACAGCAGGAACUCCCUCAGGUGGUUUUUAAUGUGUAGCCAGAAUUGAGAAUCACUGAUUAACCCCAGAAUUGGGACCCACUGAUUAACUAGGUGUCAAGGGCUGGCCCUAUGAUGUGCUCCGAUAAAAGUGUUGGUAUAAGAACAGCUACCCCGUCUGUCCCCACCAAGCAGAAGCGUGUGGUCUUACUUACCCCAGAGGUAGAGAGAAGUAUAGUAAUAGCCAGGUUAGAGAACUAGGUUGGAUUUACUGUGAUUGCUGAGGGACGAGUUAGUGAUCAGGGAGAUGUUUAAAGAAAGGAAAUUCUUGGGAGUUCCUGCUGUGGCUCAGUGGGCUCAUGAUCUGACUUGGCUCUGUGGAGGCACUGGUCCCAUCCCUGGCCCAGCAGCUAUGGCAUAGGUCACAGCUCCUGCUGGGAUUUGAUCCCUGGCCCAGGAACUUCCAUGUGCUGCAGGUGCGGCCGAAAAAGGAAAAAAAAAAUUCCUUAAUGAAAGUGUUAUUUAAUAAAUGUUGGCUUUGGCAUGAUUAGGUCUUUUUUCCAGCUUUAUUGAGGUAUAACUGACAUGUAGUAUGUAUGUUCAGGAGAUACAAUAUCUGUACUGUGAAAUGUUUACCACAGUAAGUUUGGUUAACUCAUUCUUCAUAUAAUUACGAUUUUUUUUUUUCUUUUUAGGGCCGCACUUGUGGCAUAUGGAGGUUCCCAGGCUAGGGGUCCAAUCGGAGCUGUAGCCACCAGCCUACGCCAGAGCCACAGCAACGGGGGAUCCGAGCUGCGUCUGCAACCUACACCACAGCUCACGGCAACGCCGGAUCGUUAACCCACUGGGCAAUGGCAGGGACCGAACCCGCCACCUCAUGGUUCCUAGUCGGAUUCAUUAACCACUGCGCCAUGACGGGAACUCCUGAGCUAUAUGUAUAUUUUAGAGAUUAAUCCCUUAUCAGUUGCUUCAUUUGGGAAGAUUUUCUUUCAUUCUGUGGAUGGUUUUCUGUUUUGCUUAUGAUUUUCUUCACUGUGCAAAAAGCUUUUGAGUUUAAAUAGGUCCCUCAUUUUUAUUUUCAUUACUCUAGGAUAUAGGUCCUAAAAGAUGCUGCUGUGAUUUAUGUCAGAGUGUUCUGCCUGUGUUUUCCUCUAAGAGUUUUAUAGUAUCUAGCUGUUUUAUAGUGUCUAGCUUUAAUCCACUUAUUUUUGUGUGUUGUAAGUGUUCUAAUUUCAUCUUUUUAUAAUGUAGCUGUCCAGUUUUCCCAGUACCAUUUAUUGAAGAGUGUGUUUCUACCUCCUAUGUCAUAGAUUAUUUGACCAUAGGUGCUUGGGUUUAUUUCUGGGAUUUCUGUCCUGUUGCACUGAUAUAUACUUCUGUGUCAGUACCAUACUGUUUUGAUGACUGUAGCUUUGUAGUAUAGUCUGAUGGCAGGGACCCCUAUUCUUCUAGCUCUGUUCUUCCUUCUCAGGAUUGUUUUGGCUACUUUGGAUUUUUGUGUUUCCAUACAAAUUUAAAAUUUUUUGUUCUGUUUUUUUUUGUUGUUGUUGUUGUUGUUGUUUUUAGCUAUUUCUUGGGCCAGUCCCGCGGCAUAUGGAGGUUCCCAGGCUAGGGGUCAAAUUGGAGCUGUAGCUGCCAACCUAUGCCAGAUCCACAGCAACGUGGUAUCUGAGCCACGUCUGCAACCUACACCACAGCUCACAGCAAUGCUGGAUCAUUAACCCACUGAGCAAGGGCAGGUACCAAGCCUGCAACCUCAUGGUUCCUAGUUAGAUUCGUUAACCACUGCACCAUGACGGGAACUCCUGUUCUGGUUCUUUGAAAAAUGCCAUUGGUAAUUUUAUAGGGAUUGUAUUGAACCUGUAGAUUGCCUUGGAUAGUAAUUUUGACAAUAUUGAUUCUUCUAAUAAUCCAAGAGUAUGGUAUAUCUUUCCAUCUGUUUCUGCCAUCUUUGACCUCUUUCAUCAGUGUCUUAUAGUCUUUACCUUACAUGUCUUUUGCCUCCUUAGGUUUAUUCCUAGGUAUUUUAUUCUUUAUGAUGUGAUGGUAAAUGAAACUGUUGCCUUAAUUUCUUUUCUUUAUUUUGCCUUUGUACUCACCACCUCUUCCCACAAUUGCUGGUUUUGAUAUCACAUUUGUAUAUAGAAAAUUUUCUACUUUUACUGUAUGUUUGCCUUUACCAGUGAGCUUUGCCGUUUGUAAUUUUCUUCUUUCUACCUGUGGCCUUUUCUGCCUAGAGAAGUUCCUUUAGCAUCUAUUAUAAAGCUUGUUUGGUAGUGCUAAAUUCUCUUAGCUUUUGCUUAUUGGUUAAACUUUUGAUUUCUGUCAAAUCUGAACAGCUUUGCUAGGUUUCAUCAAAAGAAUGAAAUUGGUGUCACAGAUGUGGAAAACUAGGGACCCUUGUAUGUUGCUAGUGGGAAUGUAAAAAUUGUGCAGCUGCUACUGAAAAGUUUGGUGGUUCCUCAAAAAGAUAAGUAUAGUAUUAAUGUAUGAUUCAGCAAUUCCGCCCCCAGGUGUGUACUUGAGAAAUGGAAAACGUCAACAAGGACACUUGUACACAAUUAUAGAGUAUAAUUUAUAUAAUAGGCGAAGGGUGGAAACAACCCAAAAUGUCCAUGAAUGACAAGAUCAGUGGAUAGUCAUAUAUGGAUACACACAGAUGUAUAUGUAGAUAUAUAUGGAAAAUUUUGAAAUAUGCAACAGUGCUAAGAAAUUACCCAAGCUAAUGAAAACACUAGCUUCUGCCUCAACUCUAUUUAUUGUUUUGUCUUUUGUCCUUUUAGGGCCACACCUGCGGCACUAUGGAGGUUCCCAGGCUAGGAGUCUAAACAGAGCUGUUGCAAUUGGCCUAUACCACAGCUCACGGCAACACAAGAUCCUUAACCCACUGAGGGAGGUCAGGGAUCAAACCUGCAACCUCAUGGUUCCUAGUUGGUUCCUAGUCCCACUGUACCACAAUGGGAACUCUGUGCCUUACUCUUUUUAAAAAGUGUUAAUUUAAAAAGCACUUGGGGUGGUCCCUUGGCUAACAAAUCCGAUAAGGAACCAUGAGGUUGCGGGUUUGAUCCCUGGCCUUGCUCAUUGGGUUAAGGAUCUGGCGUUGCCAUGAGCUAUGGUGUGGGUCACAAACGAGCCUCAGAUCCCGUGCUGCUGUGGCUCUGGUGUGUAGGCCCGUUGCUAUAGAUCCGAUUAGACCCCUAGCCUGGGAACCUCCAUAUGCCACAGGAGCAACUCAAGAAAAGGCAGAAAGACAAAAAAAAAAAAAAAAAAAAAAAAAAAAA